rnacentral:lncRNA from 1 species
GUCAAUAUGUUGUUGGUGGGGAAAUAACCAUGCCACCUGCUAUUGUUGUCGUUAUUGUUUCCAGGAACACAGACUGUCGUGACAUGUAUCAGCUUUUUGAGAGGACUGUGAACGGCGCGCACUGGACAGAUUCAACCGUUUUCCGGGUGGAGUAUUCCUCCGCUCAGUGCAGAAGAUAGUCCAAUGAAUGUUUAUGUGCUGGGACACAUAACAACAACGAGAUGGCCAACUGUCCAGACCCGUGGUUGCCACGGGUGACAGUUCGUCAUGAGUACAUUGGCCUGAGAUCCUACGAGGUCUCUCCCUUCACAUCUGUUGAAGAUGUUAAACAGUUGCUCUACGAGGAGACAAACCUGCCUGUCAAAGAGCAACGGCUGACUCACAAUGGGAG